GGGUUGUGAGGUUAAGCGACUAAGCGUACACGGUGGAUGCCCUGGCAGUCAGAGGCGAUGAAGGGCGUGCUAAUCUGCGAUAAGCGCCGGUAAGGUGAUAUGAACCGUUAUAACCGGCGAUACCCGAAUGGGGAAACCCAGUGUGAYUCGUCACACUAUCAUUAACUGAAUCCAUAGGUUAAUGAGGCGAACCGGGGGAACUGAAACAUCUAAGUACCCCGAGGAAAAGAAAUCAACCGAGAUUCCCCCAGUAGCGGCGAGCGAACGGGGAGGAGCCCAGAGCCUGAAUCAGCAUGUGUGUUAGUGGAAGCGUCUGGAAAGGCGCGCGAUACAGGGUGACAGCCCCGUACACAAAAGCGCAUGUGCUGUGAGCUCGAUGAGUAGGGCGGGACACGUGGUAUCCUGUCUGAAUAUGGGGGGACCAUCCUCCAAGGCUAAAUACUCCUGACUGACCGAUAGUGAACCAGUACCGUGAGGGAAAGGCGAAAAGAACCCCGGCGAGGGGAGUGAAAAAGAACCUGAAACCGUGUACGGGGCGUUAAGUUGCAGGGUAUAGACCCGAAACCCGGUGAUCUAGCCAUGGGCAGGUUGAAGGUUGGGUAACACUAACUGGAGGACCGAACCGACUAAUGUUGAAAAAUUAGCGGAUGACCUGUGGCUGGGGGUGAAAGGCCAAUCAAACCGGGAGAUAGCUGGUUCUCCCCGAAAGCUAUUUAGGUAGCGCCUCGUGAAUUCAUCUCCGGGGGUAGAGCACUGUUUCGGCUAGGGGGCCAUCCCGGCUUACCAACCCGAUGCAAACUGCGAAUACCGGAGAAUGUUAUCACGGGAGACACACGGCGGGUGCUAACGUCCGUCGUGAAGAGGGAAACAACCCAGACCGCCAGCUAAGGUCCCAAAGUCAUGGUUAAGUGGGAAACGAUGUGGGAAGGCCCAGACAGCCAGGAUGUUGGCUUAGAAGCAGCCAUCAUUUAAAGAAAGCGUAAUAGCUCACUGGUCGAGUCGGCCUGCGCGGAAGAUGUAACGGGGCUAAACCAUGCACCGAAGCUGCGGCAGCGACACUGUGUGUUGUUGGGUAGGGGAGCGUUCUGUAAGCCUGYGAAGGUGKSYYGUGAGGSWUGCUGGAGGUAUCAGAAGUGCGAAUGCUGACAUAAGUAACGAUAAAGCGGGUGAAAAGCCCGCUCGCCGGAAGACCAAGGGUUCCUGUCCAACGUUAAUCGGGGCAGGGUGAGUCGACCCCUAAGGCGAGGCCGAAAGGCGUAGUCGAUGGGAAACGGGUUAAUAUUCCCGUACUUGGUGUUACUGCGAAGGGGGGACGGAGAAGGCUAUGUUGGCCGGGCGACGGUUGUCCCGGUUUAAGCGUGUAGGUGUGUGUUCCAGGUAAAUCCGGUUCACUUUAACACUGAGGCGUGACGACGAGGCACUACGGUGCUGAAGCAACAAAUGCCCUGCUUCCAGGAAAAGCCUCUAAGCAUCAGGUAACAUCAAAUCGUACCCCAAACCGACACAGGUGGUCAGGUAGAGAAUACCAAGGCGCUUGAGAGAACUCGGGUGAAGGAACUAGGCAAAAUGGUGCCGUAACUUCGGGAGAAGGCACGCUGACACGUAGGUGAAGUGAUUUACUCAUGGAGCUGAAGUCAGUCGAAGAUACCAGCUGGCUGCAACUGUUUAUUAAAAACACAGCACUGUGCAAACACGAAAGUGGACGUAUACGGUGUGACGCCUGCCCGGUGCCGGAAGGUUAAUUGAUGGGGUCAGCGCAAGCGAAGCUCCUGAUCGAAGCCCCGGUAAACGGCGGCCGUAACUAUAACGGUCCUAAGGUAGCGAAAUUCCUUGUCGGGUAAGUUCCGACCUGCACGAAUGGCGUAAUGAUGGCCAGGCUGUCUCCACCCGAGACUCAGUGAAAUUGAACUCGCUGUGAAGAUGCAGUGUACCCGCGGCAAGACGGAAAGACCCCGUGAACCUUUACUAUAGCUUGACACUGAACAUUGAGCCUUGAUGUGUAGGAUAGGUGGGAGGCUUUGAAGUGUGGACGCCAGUCUGCAUGGAGCCGACCUUGAAAUACCACCCUUUAAUGUUUGAUGUUCUAACGUGGACCCGUUACCCGGGUUGCGGACAGUGUCUGGUGGGUAGUUUGACUGGGGCGGUCUCCUCCUAAAGAGUAACGGAGGAGCACGAAGGUUGGCUAAUCCUGGUCGGACAUCAGGAGGUUAGUGCAAUGGCAUAAGCCAGCUUGACUGCGAGCGUGACGGCGCGAGCAGGUGCGAAAGCAGGUCAUAGUGAUCCGGUGGUUCUGAAUGGAAGGGCCAUCGCUCAACGGAUAAAAGGUACUCCGGGGAUAACAGGCUGAUACCGCCCAAGAGUUCAUAUCGACGGCGGUGUUUGGCACCUCGAUGUCGGCUCAUCACAUCCUGGGGCUGAAGUAGGUCCCAAGGGUAUGGCUGUUCGCCAUUUAAAGUGGUACGCGAGCUGGGUUUAGAACGUCGUGAGACAGUUCGGUCCCUAUCUGCCGUGGGCGCUGGAGAACUGAGGGGGGCUGCUCCUAGUACGAGAGGACCGGAGUGGACGCAUCACUGGUGUUCGGGUUGUCAUGCCAAUGGCACUGCCCGGUAGCUAAAUGCGGAAGAGAUAAGUGCUGAAAGCAUCUAAGCACGAAACUUGCCCCGAGAUGAGUUCUCCCUGAGACUUWRRGUCUCCUGAAGGAACGUUGAAGACGACGACGUUGAUAGGCCGGGUGUGUAAGCGCAGCGAUGCGUUGAGCUAACCGGUACUAAUGAACCGUGAGGCUUAACCUUACAACGCCGAAG
rnacentral:rRNA from 1 species